rnacentral:tRNA from 1 species
UCAGAAAGAGAGAAUCUAAUCUCCAUCACCAACUCCCAAAGCUGGCAUUUUACACUAAACUACUUUCUGA